rnacentral:rRNA from 1 species
GAUGAACGCUGGCGGCGUGCCUAAUACAUGCAAGUCGAGCGAACAGACGAGGAGCUUGCUCCUCUGACGUUAGCGGCGGACGGGUGAGUAACACGUGGAUAACCUACCUAUAAGACUGGGAUAACUUCGGGAAACCGGAGCUAAUACCGGAUAAUAUAUUGAACCGCAUGGUUCAAUAGUGAAAGACGGUUUUGUUGUCACUUAUAGAUGGAUCCGCGCCGCAUUAGCUAGUUGGUAAGGUAACGGCUUACCAAGGCGACGAUGCGUAGCCGACCUGAGAGGGUGAUCGGCCACACUGGAACUGAGACACGGUCCAGACUCCUACGGGAGGCAGCAGUAGGGAAUCUUCCGCAAUGGGCGAAAGCCUGACGGAGCAACGCCGCGUGAGUGAUGAAGGUCUUCGGAUCGUAAAACUCUGUUAUUAGGGAAGAACAAAUGUGUAAGUAACUAUGCACGUCUUGACGGUACCUAAUCAGAAAGCCACGGCUAACUACGUG